GCUACAAAUCUUUGCCCUCUUCUUUCCUCUGGACCCUGGAAGCAUUUCUCCUUUGCCAGCUAAUGAAAUGCUAAACUUCCCCAGUAGAGGGCGCUGAGGCCAUACUGCAGAGCUACUGCAAAAGGCACAUCACAGCCUUCCUGCGCUUAGGAACCUAGACCACACUUGAGCACUGUGCCUGGGCAUCAUUAGUGACAUCAUCAACAAAAAGGACAAAAGCAUGUAAAACAUGACACUAGACAGACUGCGAAAAGGACACUUGUUUACAGUAUGAGAGCUGAAACAAGAAGGCAGAGCACCACCUUGUUUGAGCUCACCUGGGAAAGUGUGCGUCGAACAAUUCAAAUUGUUCCUGCUCUGCAAACGUCUGCAAAAGACCUGGCAAGUACCAUGGGGGCACUAAUCAAUUUUACCAAGUAAGUGAACUGGCAAAUUUGGAAAGUGUGAGUAAUGAGGAUCAAGCAUGUAUAUAUACUGUAUAUGCGCGCACGUGCGCACACACACACUCACACACACUUAUACACGAAGAGAGGGAGAGCAAAUGAACACAUCAAAAUGUGAAUCUGGAUGGAGGGGAUAUGGGAGUUGUGAGUACUAUUUCUUGCAGCUCUCGUCUAAAUUUGAAAUUAUUUCCAAAUAAAAGGCCUUGAAAUGUAAAUUAA